AAUCCCCAGCAUGCUACGCGCCAGAAACUGUCCCCGACCUCGAGAGGGAAAAGCACUGGCCCGCCAGCCUUGGGGUCGUAAGUUAAUUGUGUUCUUCUCCUAUUGGGCCAUACCCUUGCCAAGAACGGGAACAGAGUCCUACUCAUUCUGGGUCCCUGUGCUGUCCAGCGUGAUGUAAAGCAACAGGCACACAAAACUCCAGAGGACCCCUGUCCCAAGCAGGAGACAACAUAAUCACCCCAGUCACUCUGAGUCAGAAAAUCCUGGAGUUGGAAAUAACCUUCUCACACUGAAGUCAGGGAAACUGAGGCCCACUCCACAGCUGCUUCUGCAUUAGAGUGAGAAUGACACCAGAAGGAACACUAAAAAUUAAUAAAGUAAGGAA